CUACGGGCGGCAGCAGUGGGGAAUAUUGGACAAUGGGGGAAACCCUGAUCCAGCAAUGCCGCGUGUGUGAAGAAGGCCUGCGGGUUGUAAAGCACUUUCGGUUGGGAGGACUGCUUCUAGCACUAAUAUUGUUGGAAGUUGAUGUUACCUUCAGAAGAAGCACCGGCUAACUCCGUGCCAGCAGCCGCGGUAAUACGGGGGGUGCAAGCGUCAAUCGGAAUUACUGGGCGUAAAGCGCGCGUAGGCGGCUAGAUCAGUCGGGUGUGAAAGCCCCGGGCUUAACCUGGGAACUGCAUCCGAUACUGUCUAGCUUGAGUACAGGAGAGGAGAGUGGAAUUCCACAUGUAGCGGUGAAAUGCGUAGAUAUGUGGAGGAACACCAAUGGCGAAGGCAGCUCUCUGGCCUGAUACUGACGCUGAGGUGCGAAAGCGUGGGGAGCAAACAGGAUUAGAUACCCUCGUAGUC
rnacentral:rRNA from 1 species